UACGUAGGGGGCUAGCGUUGUCCGGAUUUAUUGGGCGUAAAGAGCGUGUAGGCGGCUUGGCAAGUCUGCUGUGAAAACUCGAGGCUCAACCUCGAGCUGUCGGUGGAAACUGCUUGGCUAGAGUCCGGAAGAGGAGAGUGGAAUUCCUGGUGUAGCGGUGAAAUGCGCAGAUAUCAGGAAGAACACCUAUGGCGAAGGCAGCUCUCUGGGACGGAACUGACGCUGAGGAGCGAAAGCGUGGGGAGCGAACAGG
rnacentral:rRNA from 1 species